AUUUUGAAGUUUGGGGACGAU
rnacentral:miRNA from 1 species